UACGGAGGGUGCAAGCGUUAUCCGGAUUUACUGGGUUUAAAGGGUGUGUAGGCGGGCUUUUAAGUCAGUGGUGAAAUCUCCGGGCUCAACCUGGAAACUGCCAUUGAUACUAUUAGUCUUGAAUUUUGUUGAGGUAGGCGGAAUAAGUCAUGUAGCGGUGAAAUGCAUAGAUAUGACUUAGAACACCAAUUGCGAAGGCAGCUUACUACCCGAAUAUUGACACUGAGGCACGAAAGCGUGGGGAUCAAACAGG
rnacentral:rRNA from 1 species